rnacentral:rRNA from 1 species
CAAUAGCGUAUACUAAUGUUGUUGCAGUUAAAAAGCUCGUAGUUGAACUUCUGGUAGGAGUGUCCCGGCCUUUUUGUUUUUACAAAUUGUAUGCUGUGUGACAUCUCUUGCCAUCCUUCUUCUUUGUUUAAAGAAGAUCUUUCACUGUAAAAAAAUUAGGGUGUUCAAAGCAAAAGUUUCUUUGGAAUAUAUUAGUAUGGGAUGAUAAGAUAGGCUCUAGAUGCUAUUUUGUUGGUUUGCACAUUUAGAGAAUGAUUAACAGGGACAGUUGGGGGUAUUCGUAUUUACAUGUCAGAGGUGAAAUUCUUGGAUUUUGGAAAGACGAACUACUGCGAAAGCAUUUACCAAGGAUGUUUUCAUUAA